GUAGAAAAUAUAUACGUGAUCCUGACACGCAAGGCAAGAAAUGUACAAUUGUCGAUAACUAUCGAGCUUAGCAAUUUCGUUCUAUUGUUGUCGAGAUAUAUUCGAAUACUCAUUAAAUUUUUUGGUAAACAGAAGGUUCCAAAUCUCUCGCGCUUUGGGUGCUUCCCAAUAAAAAAAGGAUUAUGCGCGGAAUUAUUCCUGGAUCGAUAUUGGACUUUUUACGGUGUAAAAUUGUAUUAAUUAAAUGUAUUAAUUAAAGAGCAAUCAAUUAAAAGCAUCUGUCAAGAUUGGAAUUUACGCUCUUUAUCAGAAGCUCGUAAUUUUUAUUCUCUGAAUCUCUUCUUGUUUCAUGUCGGGUUUCCCCAGUUUUUCUUCGAAGGAAAAAAAUACCAAAGUAAUCUUCUAAUCAGAAAUAAUCCGAUUAAUAAUUUUUUUUUGUCAAUACUAGCCUUUCGAUAUCUCGAGCACCCGUAUAUACUCCUAUAAUAAACGGCAGGUUUGAAACAAGUUAUAAUGAUCGAACGGGCAGGUUAUGUUGGUAACAGGUGCGCGACAGACGUUACUUCCUACCUGUGAGAUCCAAAGAACGUGUCGUAUUAGAGCGUUGUACAUCGCGUGACGUGUGAUCUCGGGAUCUUUAAUUGGGACGAAAAGAACGAAAUUCCAACGCGACGACGAGGCAAUGUCGUCGCGACGCGCAUUCGUCAACUGUGAACUCGAAGAAGGCUAAAUGUCAAAAAUAAUAUAAUAUUUGAUACUACUUUUCGAAGCUGAUGGAUACAAUCAUGUAGAGUCUAAAAAGUAGAGGCAGAAAAGGGGAAGAUGACACCUCAUUUUACAACAUUGACUCCAGUGCGAAAGCGAUGUCUAAUCGUGCUGUUGCUAGUCUUGGUUCCAUGUGCGAUUCUGAAUCUGCUGACGCCAUCAGACAUGCGCGAGGAGGCUAUAUUACAGAACAGCAUUGCCGAACUGCAGGCCAAGCUGGAGCAUUUACAUGCUAAAUAUAUUGGCAGCCAGGAGGAAAUAAACUUACUGUCUCAUCAGUUGCUACAACUGAUUGAGAGCAAUCACAUCUUACCAGAUCUGCAACUGCUCAUCAACAAUGGCACCUCCAAUGUCACUAACAUUAAGCUGCCUUCGAUCUAUAAUUUUCUACCACAUUUUCUCAAUGAUCCAAAUAGUCUUCGUCCUGCGUUUGUGCAGAGCAAAGGUAGAUCGGGAGUUAGCAUGGUGUUGGGAGUACCAACGGUUAAACGCGAGGUUCAAUCUUAUCUUAUGGCGACUUUAAAAAAUUUGCUAGAUCGUAUGAACACAGCAGAAAUCGCAGAUACCUUGAUCAUCGUUUUAGUGGCUGAAACAGAUAUUGAUUAUGUGACAUAUGUUGCAAAGCAAAUUGAAGUUCAAUUUCCGAAUGAAUGUGAAGCUGGCGUGAUCGAUGUAAUAUCACCAUCACCAUCUUAUUAUCCAGAUUUAUCAAAAUUACGCGACACUCUCGGUGACGAUCAUCAACGUGUCGUUUGGCGGUCCAAGCAGAAUCUGGAUUUUGCUUUUCUCAUGUCAUAUGCCCAGACUAAAGGCACAUUUUAUGUGCAAUUAGAAGAUGAUAUUUUGGCCAAGAAGAACUUUGUAACUACUAUGAAAUCCUUUGCGUUGCAAAAGAUUGGCACAAAGGAAAAUUGGUUCGUUCUCGAUUUCUGUCAGCUUGGUUUUAUCGGAAAAUUGUUCAAAUGUGUGGAACUUCCCUGGCUAAUUCAAUUUUUUUUGAUGUUCCACAAUGAUAAGCCUGUCGAUUGGCUAUUGGAUCAUUUGAUAUCGACAAGAGUCUGUAGUCUUGAUAAAGACAGCAAACAUUGCAAAAUGGCUAAGGCAGAGUUGUGGGUGCAUUACAAACCUUCUCUUUUUCAACACAUAGGAACGCAUUCAUCCUUGAAGGGAAAAGUGCAAAAACUCAAGGAUAAACAAUUUGGUAAAAUAACGCUAUUUUACGCUCACGAGAAUCCUGAGGCGACUGUGGAGACUCAAAUCAAGCCUUACAAACAAUAUACACUACAAAAAGCAUAUAAAGGCGAGACGUUCUUUUGGGGCUUGCUACCUCAACCAGGAGACCAUUUAAAGUUUAAAUUUUCACAUCCUAUUUUUAUAAAGAAGUACUUAUUCAGGAGUGGAAAUCCUGAACACCCGUCUGAUAAAUUUUACAAUACGACGGUGGAAGUAUUGUCCGAGAUGUCUCCGUUGUUGGAUAGAAACAGCAAUGAUGUGACAGAGGACGGUUACAUUAUUAUAGAUAAGUUUGAUGUACUUGGUGUUGCUGAAGGGACUGUGGAUCGAAGAUUGGGUAAGGUGUCUGUGCUUCGUUUAAGUAUACACAGUGAAAGCGAGAACUGGGCCAUUCUGUCUGAGAUUCACAUAAUAGAGGAUCAGCCUAGCUGACUAAAGGACGAAAAUUCUCGAGUGCUUUUGCGGUACCGCCUGCAUGGUUAAUAGAAAUCAAUGCCCUGUACGGUUUUGGACCAGCUGUGACACCGUCUACAAAGUCUUGCGUGGAUGGUCGUGCUUCACCGGGCACCACCGAGAAGUUAAACGCUUGUAGCAACGUGGCCGUUAUGAUGAAAAUGUUACUCCUAGCUAAUACCUCUCCCAUACAACGAUGUCUGCCUGUAAAUUAUUUCACACUUAGGAUCGAGCUUAUGAUUACAUUUAUGUGAUUGUGAGAUUUUAUACAUAAGUUUUGUAGUAGUUAACAUACGAGAAAGGAGAAAGAAACGCACCCAUGCCGAAAGGAACAUAUUUUUCUGGCGUAAUGAUGUUGCCGUCACUGUCGAGGAAUCUCUCCGGUCGGAAAUCUUCCGCAUCGUUCCAAGAUUCAUCCAUGAUUAUUCUGUUGUAAUUUACAACGAGCAUUGUGUCCUAAAAAGACGUAGUGUCUCUUAUUGCUCUAUGUGGGACAUUCAAAGUACGGCCCACGAAUAUUCGUAAGGACUCCAGAACGAUAGCUUGGAUGUAUGGCAUUCUGAAAAACGAAGAUAUAAUUAAUGCACGACGCGAAAUCUUCUGCAAUUAUAGAUGAAAUGUGAAAGUGAUUGACAACGUUUACCUUGGUUUGUCAGCCAAUGUGGGAAAUCUGUCGCGUCCAAUAACUCUGUCUAUUUCUUCGUGUGCCUUUCUCUGAACCUGCGGAUUUAAUAUUAGAUUUAAAAAUCCGAAGCCGAGUGCUUUCGAAGUAGUUUCGGAGCCCGCUAUGAAGAGAUCCACACAGAUUGCCAACAACUGGGAUUCUGAAAUUGUUAUUUUUAUAAAAUUAUCAUUCAGUAAUAAUAAUGUUAUUUGUAUAA